ACGCGUGGAACCUUACCAGGUCUUGACAUCCUCUGACACUCCUAGAGAUAGGACGUUCCCCUUCGGGGGACAGAGUGACAGGUGGUGCAUGGUUGUCGUCAGCUCGUGUCGUGAGAUGUUGGGUUAAGUCCCGCAACGAGCGCAACCCUUGAUCUUAGUUGCCAGCAUUAAGUUGGGCACUCUAAGGUGACUGCCGGUGACAAACCGGAGGAAGGUGGGGAUGACGUCAAAUCAUCAUGCCCCUUAUGACCUGGGCUACACACGUGCUACAAUGGACGGUACAAACGGUUGCCAACCCGCGAGGGGGAGCUAAUCCGAUAAAACCGUUCUCAGUUCGGAUUGUAGGCUGCAACUCGCCUACAUGAAGCCGGAAUCGCUAGUAAUCGCGGAUCAGCAUGCCGCGGUGAAUACGUUCCCGGGCCUUGUACACACUGCCCGU
rnacentral:rRNA from 1 species